rnacentral:rRNA from 1 species
UACGGAGGAUGCGAGCGUUAUCCGGAUUUAUUGGGUUUAAAGGGUGCGCAGGCGGAAUGUCAAGUCAGCGGUAAAAUUUCGGGGCUCAACCCCGUCGUGCCGUUGAAACUGGCGUUCUUGAGUGAGCGAGAAGUAUGCGGAAUGCGUGGUGUAGCGGUGAAAUGCUUAGAGAUCAUACAGAACUCCGAUUGCGAAGGCAGCAUGCCGGCUCCACACUGACGCUGAGGCACGAAAGCAUGGGUAGCGAACAGG